AACGUACGCUGGCGGCACGCCUAACACAUGCAAGUCGAACGCAGUAGCAAUACUGAGUGGCAGACGGGUGAGUAACAUGUGGGAAUCUGCCUUGUGGUUCAGGACAACAUUGGGAAACCGAUGCUAAUACUGGAUAAGCCCUUACGGGGAAAGUUUUAAUGCCAAAGGAUCGGCCCGCGUUGGAUUAGGUAGUUGGUGGGGUAAUGGCCUACCAAGCCGACGAUCCAUAGCUGGUUUGAGAGGAUGAUCAGCCACACUGGGACUGAGACACGGCCCAGACUCCUACGGGAGGCAGCAGUGGGGAAUUUUCCGCAAUGGGCGAAAGCCUGACGGAGCAAUACCGCGUGAGGGACGAAGGUCUGUGGAUUGUAAACCUCUUUUGUUAGGGAAGAUAAUGACGGUACCUAACGAAUAAGCAUCGGCUAACUCCGUG
rnacentral:rRNA from 1 species